rnacentral:lncRNA from 1 species
ACCCACAUGAAGCCUAAGAAGCUAUGUGGUUCUCACGGGUCCGCACAGCCUGGCUCAUGUCACUCCGUCUGGUGGACUGUACAGCUUUGCCAUCCAAAUGGAUCACCAAAACAGGUAGACCAGAUCUCCAGAUGCCAUGGUGUCCUGUUCCUGCUCUACAGGAUCUCCUGACAGACAUUGUGGUGUCCUGCCUCUACUCUUCUGGACCUCCUGACAUUGUGGUGUUCUUGUUGUCUUUGUGUGUGUGUGUGCGUGCACUCUUCUUCCCUCUGGGCCACAGAACUUGGACAGAGGUGAUGUUCUGGAUUUGGGAAGAUAUUUAA